UACGUAGGGUGCAAGCGUUGUCCGGAAUUAUUGGGCGUAAAGAGCUCGUAGGCGGUUUGUUGCGUCGGCUGUGAAAUCCCGAGGCUCAACCUCGGGUCUGCAGUCGAUACGAGCAAACUAGAGUGUUGCAGGGGAGACUGGAAUUCCUGGUGUAGCGGUGAAAUGACGCAGAUAUCAGGAGGAACACCGGUGGCGAAGGCGGGUCUCUGGGCAACAACUGACGCUGGAGGAGCGAAAGCGUGGGGAGCGAACAGG
rnacentral:rRNA from 1 species